rnacentral:tRNA from 1 species
AAGAGCGUGUCGCGCAGGCUGGCGAGGUGCGCCGUGGCCGCCUCGGUAAAGGCGUUCUCCGCCUUGAGGUACGCGAUCGUGUCCGGGUCGUCCUUGCC